ACAAGAAUAAUUUUUGGCCUAUCGGAGUGUUUUCAGCAUUUCAGCAUGGGGGAACUGGUAUUCCUCUAGUGGUUGGGUCUCCUUCCGACCACCUUUCUUCUUCUUCUCCAGCGAGGUGUGUCGGCUAGGGUUUGCGGUUCAACCAAAAGAUAUGCUUAAAUACCCCCUUGCCUCGAUUUGGGCCAUCCAUUCAGGCUCGUGUGGAUCAACCUCAACUGUUAGAUCUUGCUUAUUCGGGAAACAAAUCUGGACCGUUCGAUUAAAGACACGUGGACCGUUCGAUCAAGCUUAUUCGGGUAAUUGAUCUGGGUCGUUCGUACACUCGGGAGUGGCUCUGGGCCAUUCGAUUGGCCUCGCACGUGGAUGACUCGCGUGGCUUCCCAUGUGGAACCCGUGUCGGCGUGUGUGCCACGUGGCGUGCGGCGAUUCGUCGUGAUACUGACUGGGUGUACACGUGGCCCGUAUUUUCUCUUUUUGCAAUUUAACUCCUAUUUUCAAAUUUUUCUUUCAAAAAUUCCCCUCUUUUAUU
rnacentral:lncRNA from 1 species